rnacentral:rRNA from 1 species
UGCGUAGGUGGUUUGGUAUGUCGGAUGUGAAAGCCCACGGCUCACCCGUGGAAUUGCAUUCGAAACUGCCAGACUAGAGUAUCGGAGAGGUAAGUGGAAUUCUUGGUGUAGCGGUGAAAUGCGUAGAUAUCAAGAGGAACACCGGUGGCGAAGGCGACUUACUGGACGAAUACUGACACUGAGGCACGAAAGCUGGGGUAGCGAAGA